rnacentral:rRNA from 1 species
GAUGAACGCUGGCGGCGUGCUUAACACAUGCAAGUCGAACGAAGCAUUUAAGACAGAUUACUUCGGUUUGAAGUCUUUUAUGACUGAGUGGCGGACGGGUGAGUAACGCGUGGGUAACCUGCCUCAUACAGGGGGAUAGCAGCUGGAAACGGCUGGUAAUACCGCAUAAGCGCACAGUACCACAUGGUACAGUGUGAAAAACUCCGGUGGUAUGAGAUGGACCCGCGUCUGAUUAGCUUGUUGGCGGGGUAACGGCCCACCAAGGCGACGAUCAGUAGCCGACCUGAGAGGGUGACCGGCCACAUUGGGACUGAGACACGGCCCAGACUCCCACGGGAGGCAGCAGUGGGGAAUAUUGCACAAUGGAGGAAACUCUGAUGCAGCGACGCCGCGUGAGUGAAGAAGUAGUUCGCUAUGUAAAGCUCUAUCAGCAGGGAAGAUAGUGACGGUACCUGACUAAGAAGCUCCGGCUAAAUACGUG